CCCCGCUACGAUCAACCACGGGAGCCACGACAGGCAAAACCCACACGAUCGCCAAACACGUACGACACGACAUAAAAGACGUAGGCAAGGCAGGGGUAACAUCGAAUGCACUGCUCUCUGGCGAUAGAAAACAUUGUUCAAUAUACGAAGAUGGUACGGUUGCAGCACAUACAAAUUUGUCUUGCUAUCCUGUGCGCUGUUACUCCUGCACGUACACUUCAUCCCAUUGUAGGUUAUUCAAACUCUGUAUACGGAAAUGACGUGAGAAAUGCAUAUGUUUCAAAUGAAAAAAGGGGCUCCAUGAUGACCAUUGAGUGUCCGUCCGGCCUCUCACAUUUGGACUGCUACCAACAGCUGGCAAACGUGUGGAUGAGGUUUUUAAUGAGGAAACAGAAUAAAAGAAGAUACCGCUAGCAUUGAGUUUAACCUAAAUGACCUAGAGAAAGACAAAUAAUUCAUAAAGGCUUAUAUUUUUUAUUUACACACAGAAUACAUUAUGACAAGUUUGCUUGUAUACAAAUUGUAUCACAGAAAUACAUGGCUUGCGGAUGUGGCUCUUUUAUACUAAAAACUACAGGUAUGCCCAUGGAGCUAUUGCGCUCACACAUUACUCUCACGAACUCUCAUGAUUUAAUAGAAAUUGAUAUUCAUAGAUUAGAAGAAGAGUUAUUACAGUGUGAAAACUAAUUUCUUCCGGAUUCUCUGGAAUAAAGAUAAGUAUAAUUAUA